rnacentral:misc_RNA from 1 species
GAUGAAGAACGUAGCGAAAUGCGAUAAGUAAUGUGAAUUGCAGAAUUCCGUGAAUCAUCGAAUCUUUGAACGCACAUUGCGCCCCUCGGUAUUCCGCGGGGCAUGCCUGUUCGAGCGUCAUUUCACCACUCAAGCCUCGCUUGGUAUUGGGCGACGCGGUCCGCCGCGCGCCUCAAAUCGACCGGCUGGGUCGAUCGCACCCUCAGCGUUGUGGAAACUAUUCGCUAAAGGAGUUGUGGUCGGUCACGCCGUGAAACAAACCAAUCUUUCAAUGGUUGACCUCGGAUCAGGUAGGGAUACCCGCUGAACUUAAGCAUAUCAAUAAGCGGAGGA